rnacentral:rRNA from 1 species
UACGGGGGGGGCAAGCGUUGUUCGGAAUUACUGGGCGUAAAGGGCGCGUAGGCGGCCAUCUAAGUCAGACGUGAAAUCCCCCGGCUUAACCUGGGAACUGCGUCUGAUACUGGACGGCUUGAGUUUGGGAGAGGGAUGCAGAAUUCCAGGUGUAGCGGUGAAAUGCGUAGAUAUCUGGAGGAAUACCGGUGGCGAAGGCGGCAUCCUGGACCAACACUGACGCUGAGGCGCGAAAGCUAGGGGAGCAAACGGG